rnacentral:lncRNA from 1 species
GUACACCGAGGCACACCGAGGUUUUUGGGCCAAGAAGUUUCCAGACAUCACACCAUGCGAAUCGUGUGUCUAGCGCUGAUCGCGCUGGCCGGCGUGGCCACCGCUAAGAUCAGCAUUCCGCUGAGGAAGGAAAGGAUCAUCAUGACGUCGAACAUGUACCACAACAGCUCCGAGGGAGUGGGCCACAUCACGCCGCUGAA